rnacentral:lncRNA from 1 species
CCGGGCAGCUGUUGCACGGAGAGGGGGGCAGUUGCGGGGUUCCAUAACCAUAGCAACCGCAUCAGCACCGGCGGCGGCGGGCGAGGGCAGCAUCCGCUCGCUCCUCCUCCAGGCAGCCUCGCCGCGGGGACCCAACACCAGCUCGCAGGUGCUGCGGACUCCCCAGUCCGCCCGCCGCCGCCGCCGCCGCAACUGUUGGCGGCCAGAGACGGCGAAAGAGGAGAGAGAGGGACCCAGGAGCGCGGCCCCCGGGGGAGAGAGAGGGGAGCCCUGCAGUGGAGACAGUUCUACAAGAGAAGAAGAACUAAGAAGAUGGUCAUGGUCCCAACCACCAAGAACCUCCUUUGGUUACACAUGGGAGACACCAGGAGGGAGCAGAAUGACCUAAAGAUUUAGAUUCAGAUUCAAGUCUGAUCUUACCUGAGAGAGCUGGCAGAGAUUCACGGACAUCGCUAAUAUCUGCUGAGCUAUCCAGACACUGGGUGCUCAGAAACGUCAAAUGUUUCUGCUCAAACAUGAAUAAUUUCUAGGUGGCUGCACACCCAUCUCAGGAGUGACUCGUGAGGGAGAUUUUAGCAUCACAAAGGAAAGUGGCACUGUGAGCCUGGGAUCUGUGGCCCUCCCUCCACCUCCGGUGUGGAUGGAGUGGUGCUGUGAUGUGCCUGGUACAGGGCAUUUGCAUAAGUAGCCUGCCCUGCGUCACUCAUCAUGCCAGACUCUGAGAAUCAACUGUAGACAACACAAGGUCCUUGCCUUUCAAGAGCUUAAUAUGUAGUUGGGGGAUCAGGCAUGGAAAUCGGCAAGAACAAACCAGGCAAUGCCGGGGGUCUGCGGGAACAAAGAGGAGCCUCCGACAUAUUUCCUAGGUGGUGGCUGUCAAGGAUGCCUUCUUAAAGGAGAGAGAGUCUAAGCUGAGUCUGAAGGAAUCUCCACAUGCAGACCUGAGGGAAGGGCAAUCAGAAAGGGAGAGCAACAUGCAGAGACUUGGAGACAAGAAGUAGCAAGGAAGAGAAAGGAACCGCAGGGCUGGAACAAGAGGCCAAGGGGUGAGGUGGUGUCCGUUGAGGCUUGGGAGAUGGUAGGGUUACACGUUUGAGAGUUUUGCAAGCCAGUCUUUUCCUCUAACAGAAGGCCAUAGGAAGUCACAGAAAGGUCUAGACCUGGGCAGGAUGCUCUCCCCAGCUGUGAUAGAGGCCAGGUUAGCGAGAUCCAACAAAGAUUUUAUGGCCUCUUAGGAGGCUCUGCAGAGAUGCUUGACUUCAGGUAAUGAGAGGUGGGAAAAAGAGAAGGACAGAGAAGAAAUAGUGUGAGAAGGAAUAGUAGAGAGGAACAGAAGGAAGGUAUCAGAGAAAUGAACAGAUUGCUUCCUAUCUCACAAAAAUAUCAGUGAGACAUUCUAGGGACCUUUGACCAUUGAUAGGUCAAGAGGAAGGAGGGGUCAUGGUUGAUACUCAGGCUUUCUUUCCAUCCUCCCACCGUGAGAGAAGAAGGCAAGGACUAAUAAACCAGGCUCUGAAUUGAUGUCCCUGCCUCUAUUCUGCUUCCCAGUGUCUACUGUGCACAAGGCAGCCAGAGAGAUCUUUAUAAAACUAAAAUCAG